CCCCCAACAAAAAUACAACACAUCAAGGGUACAUUUGUCAUUUUGCUCAUCAACAAGCCUCCCACACGUGAAUGAUGUCACUUUUCUUUUACUUUUUAUCUAUUUCUUUACCACCCGCAGAAAGAGAAAGAAGAACAACUUGCUCUUCACCAUUCACCACCCCUCUUCUCCCUCUCUCUGCCAAACCCCUCUUCUCCCUCCACCACCAUUCAUCGAUGCCACUGAUCUCCCUCCACCACCAAACAAUCAUACCGCCCCUAUUCUCCCUCCAUGCCGUCAAUGCUUCUUCAUAACUCGACCCCUCUCUCUCUUGCGAUUUUGAGAAAUCAAAAGGGUGGUGGUGAGUGAGAUUAUUGAAUGAAAACAAUUGUUUGAUCUACAAGUGACCACACUGGUUUGGGAAUUUGGAAUCAUUUAUCAAUUUUGUUGACGAACAAAGGUUUCACAACUCAAAGGCAAAAUAGGCAUUGGGACUACUAUCAAGAAUUUGAAGUUUUUUCAUUGGCAAAGGAUAAAUACAAAACGAUGGGAUUUGGACUAUUUGGAAGGCUAAAAAUGGUACAGUUUUUGCUAAUGUAGUGAAGGACCUUUAGCAAACGGGUGUUUUUUAAUGGUGUUGCUGUGUUUCUUUUGCUCGUGCUUUAGUGCAAUGCUUUUGGAGUGGAUGUUGGCUACAUUUCAGGGUGUUUGGAAGUUGUUCAUUAGCUUUGAUUUUGUUGAGAACAUCAUGUAUCUAUUGGCCUUCUUGUGCGCUCCAAGGCUUGCAAGGUUAUUUUUUGGUUUUGUGCUUGGUGGUAUGUUGACUGUGUAUCUCGUCAGUUUGUGUGGGAUGCUUUUUGUUUUGGUUGAAGCUAUUUUAGAGUUUCUUUCUUAGUAUUUUGGUUUGUGCUAAUUUUUGUAACAGGGAAGAGUUUCAUUAACAUUUAAUUUUGUUUUAACUUUAUCUUCUAUAAACAAUC